AUCAUUUUUCUCCAUUGGCGGCGCCGUCUUUUUCACAUUUUCGUAGUUCUCUCAAAAUUUUCAAUGAAUCGGUUGUCAUAGAAGUCAUGACAAGAUUCAUAAUGAAGUUUAUGUCUUUGAUGGGAUAUAUAGAAUUUUCUCUUGGAUCUUGAGGAAUUGAAGGUGGAGAUAUUGAUGUGCAAAAUUCCAGAACUGUUAUGUUCCUGAACGAUUAUGAUUCAGAUGAGUUCAAAGAGAGGUGAUAUGUCAUGCCUCCGAACUCUGGAGAAUUAUUACUAAUCUCCACCUUUGAUUUAAUUAGUUUAUCUUAAACUAGUGUUUGUGUUUGUGUUUGUGUUUGUGUUUGUGUUUGUGUUUGUGUUUGUGUUUAUGUAUUAGGAUUUCAUAUUAGAAGUAUUGGAUGAAAUUGUAAUUCUUAAAGAAAUAAAUUAAUGAGUUGAAUUGUGUUUU